rnacentral:lncRNA from 1 species
AACACAUUUAACCCUUCAACGGGAAAGGGGAGGCAACUGCCUUAGUCUGCGCUUUUCCCCUCUUUCCCGCACAACAGAAAUGGUGGAGGCAAGUGGAAAGAUCCAUGGUACCCGUAAAGCGAGUAGUUUCCCGAAGAAUAUUGUAUUUGAAAUUCGAAAAGGAAAUAAGUGUGUUAAAUAUAUGCUAAAGGAUAAAGUAGAAAAUAGUACGGAGAAAGGAGAAUCGAUAAAGGAAAAUGGAGAAAGGAGACAGGAGAAUAGAGAUGG